CCUACGGGGGGCAGCAGUGGGGGAUAUUGCACAAUGGGGGAAACCCUGAUGCAGCGACGCCGCGUGUGGGAAGACGGUCCUCUGGAUUGUAAACCACUGUCCCCAGGGACGAAGAUGCCGGUACCUGGGGAGGACGCUCCGGCUAACUACGUUCCAGCAGCCGCGGUAAUCCGUAGGGAGCGAGCGUUGUCCGGAAUUACUGGGUGUAAAGGGAGCGUAGGCGGGGAUGCAAGUUGGGUGUAAAAACUACCGGCUCAACUGGUAGUCGCACUCAAAACUGCAGCUCUUGAGUGAAGUAGAGGCAGGCGGAAUUCCUAGUGUAGCGGUGAAAUGCAUAGAUAGUAGGAGGAACACCAGUGGCGAAGGCGGCCUGCUGGGCUUUUACUGACGCUGAGGCUCGAAAGUGUGGGGAGCAAACAGGAUUAGAUACCCUAGUAGUC
rnacentral:rRNA from 1 species